GAGAAAUGAUGAGCUUUCACUUCUGGUCCGUGUUUCUGAUGGCUGAUGAUUUCGAAGCUCUGAUCUC